UGAAAACCCUUUCUUCUUCACUCUCACACAGACCGAGUAUGGGAGACCGAGAGAGAGAGCGAGACAGAGAACGAGACCGGGAGAGAAUCCGAGACCGGGAUCGAGACAGAGACAGACGCCGUGACAGAGACGACCGUGAUCGUGACCGCGACCGUGUCCGGAGCAAGAGGUCACGCACGCCGGAGCGCAGCAGAGCACGCCACACGCGCUCCCGCACGCGCUCGCCGGACUUGUACCACUCACGCUCCCUCUCCCGUUCCCGCACUCCAGAAGACCGCUCCCACCGCCGCCGCCACCACCACCGCAGCCCCUCCCCGGAGUCGCGGAAGCGUGCGCGGCGCGAGCCGACGGUGGAGGAGGAGAAGGACCGGCAGAAGGUGGUGUCGGAAUUCGUGGAGGGGAUUGCGAAGGAGCAGCAGAAGCAGAGCAGCGGUGGUGGAGAGGGCGGUGCGGACGAGGACGAGGUUGAGAUGAUGAAGAAGUUGGGGAUUCCGGUAGGGUUUGAUUCCACGAAGGGGAAGCCGGUGCAGGGGGCCGAUGUGAGUGGUGUUAGGGCCGUCACGAAGCGCCAGCCUAGACAGUACAUGAACCGCCGCGGCGGAUUUAACCGGCCAUUGCCUGCAGAGCGCAAUCGCUAGAAUACUGGAGUUUAUAAGCCGGAUUAGGCAGAAUGGGUCACUUAUGGAUUCACAGUUGCUUAUCUGGAGCAACUUAUUCCAAUAAGACUCCUCCUCUGUAGAGGUAUGGGGUUUGACCUUCUAUCGGUGGGUUGGGUGGGAGGUUCUUCUAAUGUUGGAACACCCUUGACGUACCCUUUCUUGUUCAUGAGGAAACGUAUGGUCAUAAGAAAGAUAUUGCUUGCCAGGAGAGCAUUAUCUUGUCACCAGGUCCUCAGUGACUUUGAUGUUGAAAGGCACCAGCAGGAGAACAAUCAAUGUGAAAUUGGAGAUCAUUCUUGUGAUUUGAUGGAAGUAAUGCAUCUUAUGUUUUGAGUCCGACUGAAAAAAUUAGUCAUAGCUGGACUAGUUUCAGUGCCUUGGAUUUGUCUUCUGAAUUCAUAAUCUGAACCAAAUUGAAGUGAUCCAAAUUGAAGAUUUGCAAUGCAUAUAUCUUGAAACUUUUUUUGUA